rnacentral:rRNA from 1 species
AACGAACGCUGGCGGCAGGCUUAACACAUGCAAGUCGAACGCAUCCUUCGGGGUGAGUGGCAGACGGGUGAGUAACGCGUGGGAACGUGCCCUUCAGUUCGGGAUAACUCAGGGAAACUUGGGCUAAUACCGGAUACGUGCGAGAGCAGAAAGAUUUAUCGCUGAAGGAUCGGCCCGCGUCUGAUUAGCUAGUUGGUGGGGUAAUGGCCCACAAAGGCGACGAUCAGUAGCUGGUCUGAGAGGAUGAUCAGCCACAUUGGGACUGAGACACGGCCCAAACUCCUCCGGGAGGCAGCAGUGGGGAAUAUUGGACAAGGGGCGCAAGCCUGAUCCAGCCAUGCCGCGGGAGUGAUGAAGGCCUUAGGGUUGUAAAGCUCUUUCGUCCGGGACGAUAAUGACGGUACCGGAAGAAGAAGCCCCGGCUAACUUCGUGCCAGCCGCCGCCGUAA